AAUAUUGAUCAUGAUAUUCCCUGUUUAAAAUCCUUUAAUUCUUUCUUAUAGGAAAACAUCAAAACUCUAGCCUCAUUCUUCCCUCUUUCUCCCUUAACACUUCUGUGUUCCAGCCACAUUGUACUUCUCAGCCUAACUAUGCAUGCUAUGUUCUUUUUAUUUUUUGAGAUGGAGUUUCGCUCUUGUUGCCCAGGCUGGAGUGCAGUGGCACGAUCUCCGCUCACCGCUGCCGCAACCUCCGCCUCCCGGGUUCAAGCAAUACUCCUGCCUCAGCCUUCCGAGUAGCUGGGAUUACAGGCAUGCACCACCAUGCCCGCCUAAUUUUGUAUUUUUAGUAGAGACAGGGUUUUUCCUUGUUGGUCAGACUGGUCUCGAACUCCCAACCUCAGGUGAUCUGCCUGGCUCGGCCUCCCAAACUGCUGGGGUUACAGGUCGUGAUAUCAUUGGGCUUGCAGAAACUGGCUCUGGAAAGACAGGCGCCUUUGCUUUGCCCAUUCUAAACGCACUGCUGGAGACCCCGCAGCGUUUGUUUGCCCUAGUUCUUACCCCGACUCGGGAGCU
rnacentral:lncRNA from 10 species